rnacentral:rRNA from 1 species
GCAAGUCGAACGGAAGUCUUCGGACUUUAGUGGCGGACGGGUGAGUAACGCGUGAGAAUCUGGCUUUAGGUCGGGGACAACAGUUGGAAACGACUGCUAAUACCGGAUAUGCCGAGAGGUGAAAGAAUUAAUUGCCUGAAGAAGAGCUCGCGUCUGAUUAGCUAGUUGGUGGGGUAAGAGCUUACCAAGGCGACGAUCAGUAGCUGGUCUGAGAGGACGAUCAGCCACACUGGGACUGAGACACGGCCCAGACUCCUACGGGAGGCAGCAGUGGGGAAUUUUCCGCAGUGGGCGAAAGCCUGACGGAGCAAUACCGCGUGAGGGAGGAAGGCUCUUGGGUUGUAAACCUCUUUUCUUAGGGAAGAAAAAAAUGACGGUACCUAAGGAAUCAGCAUCGGCUAACUCCGUGCCAGCAGCCGCGGUAAUACGGAGGAUGCAAGCGUUAUCCGGAAUGAUUGGGCGUAAAGCGUCCGCAGGUGGCAUUUCAAGUCUGCGGUCAAAGGUCGAGGCUCAACCUCGAACAGGCCGUGGAAACUGAAAAGCUAGAGUGUGGUAGGGGCAGAGGGAAUUCCCAGUGUAGCGGUGAAAUGCGUAGAGAUUGGGAAGAACACCGGUGGCGAAAGCGCUCUGCUAGGCCAAGACUGACACU